UACGGAGGGUGCAAGCGUUGCUCGGAUUUACUGGGCGUAAAGCGCGCGUAGGCGGUUUAGUAAGUCUGGUGUGAAAUCCCACGACUCAAUCGUGGAAGUGCAUUGGAUACUGCUAGACUGGAGUACAGGAGGGGUAGGCGGAAUUCCUGGUGUAGAGGUGAAAUUCGUAGAUAUCAGGAGGAACAACGGCGGCGAAGGCGGCCUACUGGACUGUUACUGACGCUGAGGCGCGAAAGCGUGGGGAGCAAACAGG
rnacentral:rRNA from 1 species